GCUCAGUAACACGUGGAUAAUCUGCCCUAUGGUGGAGGAUAACCCCGGGAAACUGGGGAUAAUACUCCAUAAGUCAGGAGUACUGGAAUGUCUCCUAACUGAAAGUCGCGGCGCCAUAGGAUGAAUCUGCGGCCGAUUAGGCAGUUGUUGGGGUAACGGCCCAACAAGCCCGUAAUCGGUACGGGUUGUGGGAGCAAGAGCCCGGAGAUGGAAUCUGAGACACGAUUCCAGGCCCUACGGGGCGCAGCAGGCGCGAAAACUUUACAAUGCAGGAAACUGUGAUAAGGGAACCCCGAGUGCCCAUACACGCGGGCUGUCCCGGUGUUUAAAACACAUCGGAAGAAAGGGCCGGGCAAGACCGGUGCCAGCCGCCGCGGUAAUACCGGCGGCUCGAGUGGUGACCACUUUUAUUGGGCUUAGAGCGUUCGUAGCUUGAUUUUUAAGUCUCUUGGGAAAUCUCACGGCUUAACUGUGAGGCGUCUAAGAGAUACUGGGAAUCUAGGGACCGGGAGAGGUAAGAGGUACUUCAGGGGUAGAAGUGAAAUUCUGUAAUCCUUGAGGGACCACCGAUGGCGAAGGCAUCUUACCAGAACGGCUUCGACAGUGAGGAACGAAAGCUGGGGGAGCGAACGGGAUUAGAUACCCCGGUAGUCCCAGCCGUAAACUAUGCGCGUUAGGCGUGCCUGUAACUACGAGUUACCGGGGUGCCGAAGUGAAAACGUGAAACGUGCCGCCUGGGAAGUACGGUCGCAAGGCUGAAACUUAAAGGAAUUGGCGGGGGAGCAC
rnacentral:rRNA from 1 species